rnacentral:lncRNA from 1 species
UUUUUUGUGUGGUGCUAAUCUGUGAAUAAUUAUUUAUGCUGUUAGUGGGAAGAAAAUCUAUCCUUCAGACAAUAAGUCACGAUUCCCUCCGGUGCUAUGGUCCUUAAUUAUUGAAAGCAUUGCCCAGACAAAUCACAGUGUCUACAACUGAGAUACAGAAUGGUACUAACGUAGACGUUUUUGGAUCACCAACUAAAAAGGCAAUUCUACACUGAGGAAUUAAGAUUCUAUUCAAUCUCGAGGAUCAGAGCCCUUUCCAGUGCUCAAUCUAUCCAUAAAAGUUUCAGAUAACUACAACUUGAAUACAGCCGAAGUAGACAACACGCUCUGCUCCAGACACAGAAACAGGAAAUGCAAGCGGCUUUCCAUCGACUAUCAGUGACCCCAACAAUAAUCUGGAUCAACGUUAUCUUCUCAUUAGGUUUGAUUUCAAGUUAA